UCCGUAGGUGGAUAAUUAAGUCAGAGGUGAAAUCCUGCAGCUCAACUGUAGAAUUGCCUUUGAUACUGGUUAUCUUGAGUCAUUAUGAAGUGGUUAGAAUGUGUAGUGUAGCGGUGAAAUGCAUAGAUAUUACACAGAAUACCGAUUGCGAAGGCAGAUCACUAAUAAUGUACUGACACUGAGGGACGAAAGCGUAGGGAGCGAACAGGAUUAGAUACCCUGGUAGUCC
rnacentral:rRNA from 1 species